rnacentral:rRNA from 1 species
UACGUAGGGGGCGAGCGUUGUCCGGAUUUAUUGGGCGUAAAGAGCGUGUAGGCGGCCAGGUAGGUCCGUUGUGAAAACUCGAGGCUCAACCUCGAGACGUCGAUGGAAACCAUCUGGCUAGAGUCCGGAAGAGGAGAGUGGAAUUCCUGGUGUAGCGGUGAAAUGCGCAGAUAUCAGGAAGAACACCAGUGGCGAAGGCGGCGCUCUGGGCUGCACCUGACGCUGAGAUGCGAAAGUGUGGGGAGCAAACGGG